rnacentral:tRNA from 1 species
GGCAAGAUGCCGAGCGGUCCAAGGCGUGUGACUCAAGCAAAGCUUGCCUGCUCCCGCGGGUUUCUCAUCUGGGUAUCCAGGCGUGGGUUCAAAUCCCACUCUUGUCA